rnacentral:tRNA from 1 species
GGGCGUGUAGCUCAGUUGGGAGAGCACCUGCUUUGCAAGCAGGGGGUCGGGAGUUCGAAUCUCCUCACGUCCACCA